rnacentral:lncRNA from 1 species
CAGGGUAAAAUUGUCAUAGUAUAUAGCCUUACUUCUUUGCUUUUAUGCUGCUGCUGUCAUAAUAGGCGAGAUAUAAUUAACUUUUAAUGUCCAAAAGCUUGAAGAAGGGUUGCAUUAGUUUCCUAGAUUGCAGAAUAUGCAACUCUCCGGACUGUAUAAGCUAGGUGAAAGUUGUGGUUGUUUGGAGCUCCUGAUAUACAGAUUCUAGAAGCCACGUUCCACAAUUCACCACAAUCCAAAUAGGCCAUAACCAUAUAAUGUUCCCUCAUUCCA